GCUUACGCAGGAAGUGCGCGUGUGUCAGCGUCUCCGGCUGCCGGGGAGAGGUUGGUGAAACAGCGUUUAAGCCUUUCGCGGGUCGCGUAACUGCUCUUUGUAUGUUUGGAGUAAUGAUUACGUGGGCACAGAAGACAAACUCAUCUAGAUUAUAUCAGGUACUGCACUGAGUGAUGAGACUAUAAACAUGAAUAAAACAUGACCCUCGCCCUCAAGGAUUCUACAAAGAGCUCGGUGGAAGAAAAAAUGGAAGCACAGAUACGGGUUCAGGAGGAGCUUGUAUUUAUAAUCCCACAGGAGAUGAUGAAUGUAGAACAUUUUUUCCAUUUUGUACAGCACUGAUACGUGGAAAUAUAUAUGUACCACUACAGUAGAAAUGGGGAAAUUAUAAGUUUGUGCAAACCAGACUUUCCUGAAAUGGAUCCUCAUUCCAUAUUCUUUUUAAUACCAGCUAACUGCUGCAACAUUAUUCCUGCAUUUUCCCAAAUGCAGCCAACAUGGAUACCUCUGCUACUCUGUUUUGGCCACCAUAGCUGCUGCUUCUCUCGGGAGAGCUCUCUUUUCUAAGCAUCAAGCAUCUCAAACAAGACAGUCUCUGGGAUUUCAUCUUCCUUUUUGAAGCGACCUGACCUAUCAGGAUCUUCAUUUCCCAACACGAAGCUACCUCGGAACUGAGGCAUGUGAAACAAAGGCAAGUCCUUGAGCAGAGCCUUCAGGGAGCUACCGGAGAACUCAGGGAGCUACUUCAGGUCAAAAUAUAAAUCCACAAUUAUUUGAGAGUAAGAUUGGUGUUGGUUCCUCUGGUACCAGUAAUCUGCACCAGGAAAACGGGCUUCUGUCUUCAAGUCUGCAACUGAGUUGGGGAGUGGGAGAUGUAUCGAGAUUCUGGAGUUCUGAAGAAGUUCACUGUGACUAUUUUUGCUGCUGUCCAUUGCUUUCGUGGAGGGAUGAAGCUUUGGAGUUUUCUACUCCGCUAUUUUCACAGAUGUCCGUCCAGUGGAGAGAGUGGGUGAUAUGGCUGUGAUAUUACUGAUUCUAAUGAAAGGGUAGCAUCCAGUCCAGAUCCCUUCAGGCUUCUCUGAGAGUCUUCAGAUUUGGAUGCCUGAGAAGAUCUGUGGCUGAACCCUGGAAAGCAUUUACCUGCACCUUUCGUGGGGUCUACUUUGAGGGACCCUAUCCUAUAAUGUAUGCGUACAGCUUCUGUCUAAGGUGACUUGAUUCCUUGGUGAUACAGACUGACAAAAGGCUUUUCACACUCAAAGUGCUUUCAGUUCUCCCAGAAUAGAUAAAUUCAGGAAAACCUGGCAACAGGACAUUUGGUGAGCCUUUUCAGAGGGUUGGACUCCAGAAUACAGCACUGAACAUGGGUGUUAGGAUGGCAAACUUCUAUGUGACCAUAACAGAAAACUCAGAAAAGAAUCUAUCUCUUCCGCUUAUCUGAACUAUUUUGAAGACCUCUGCUUGACAUCUUUCAAACAACUUAUGCUUCACCUGCCUAUAGCAUUUGGUGAGAAAGAACCAGGAUGGGCUAUUCAUUUGUUCUCAGUAUCUUGACAUUUCUCAGAUACAGAAGAUCCAGAUCAACAUGGCCCUUGGGAGGCUGGUGACUGAGACCAGGGUCCUCAUGCCUGUGGUAAGCAUUUGAUUCUAUAUGCUCAAAUGCUAUGGGUCUACAUGAAUUUGGGUCCACUAACCACCAACAACUGUCUCACAUUCUCUGAGACAUGUGGGUUGUCAAAUGUGGGUAUGGCUGAGGGAGUCUGACAGAGAAUACUGAGACAUUCCUCUCUGCUGCUUGUGUCCUGGCUUCCCCAUUUCACUUCUGGCUACGACUAUUGGAAGAUGGAAGUUGGGGAGGGGCAGGUAGAAAUGGGAUACAGGUGUUUGCUUGGAGUCUGCACAUUGUCAAGGAACAUUCCCUAUGUCUUCAGAGCUUGGAUUCCGAGUUGUGGGCCUCAGAGGAGGUUAUGAAGUUGUGUUGUCUGAACCCAGGACCAUUCUUCACAUGAACCUAAACUUGCAGGAUGUGGACAUGUUCCAGGUUUGACCUAAAAGCCAGCUCAUUUUGUGAUGCCCCUGAUGGCUUCCAUCUCUACACAUUAAAAAAUGUGUUUACCUCAGGGCCUUUGCAUCAACCUUGUGUCCUAGGACCCCAGGCAAGGGUGAGAACGUGAAGAUCUGUCCCAGGGGAGCCACAGGUGUUGAAGUUUGGCCACAGUUACCCUAAGAAGACGUGUAAACUCUGUCCAAAAUAAAAAGCAAAUGGGAGAAAACUGCUGACUCAUAUAGACCCAAGAUCUUUCAUUAUUACAGAUGUUUAUAAGGUUGAGAAUACUGGGGGUUUUUUUUCUACUGAUAAGGAAGCCUUUGGAUUUAAAAAAAUUGGAUUUAAAAAAAAAAAAGCCUUGGAUUUAAAAAAAGGAAGCCUUUGGAUUUAAAAAAAAAAUUUAAAAAAAUUGCUAAUCCAAAAUAAAAAGCAAAUGGGAGAAAACUGCUAACUCAUAUAGACCCAAGAUCUUUCAUUAUUACAGAUGUUUAUAAGGUUGAGAAUACUGGGGUUUUUUUUUUUUCUACUGAUAAGGAAGCCUUUGGAUUUAAAAAAAAUGGAUUUAAAAAAUUGCUACUGAUAAGGAAGCCUUUGGAUUUAAAAAAAAAAUUAAAAAAAAUUCUAACUGCGAGGUUUUGCUUAUGUUGAGACAGAACAAACCAAAGAGCAUUAUAAGUGUGGCUUUGUUUCCUCUUACAUGUUUCUGAGAGGACAUAGCCAUGAACUGCUGCUUUAGGAGGAAACCAAGAGCUCAUUUGUGGACAGUGUCCAGGAUGAAUCUGUGUAAAAUGCCAAUGAAAAUACUCCCAGUCAAAACAUGAGGUGUGUGGGUGAGCUGUGAACAAAGAAAACGUCAUCACGUUGAAAGCUUGAAGUACCAAGCAAGAAAGAUGACCAAUAACCAAAUGAAGCAUCCGACUGAACAAGACAAAGGAGGGCUCAGAGACAGAAGAUUUUGACAGGGAAAGUACUUGCAAAGAACACAAGGAAGUCAGGCUUCAGAAGGAUUCGCUCCCCAAAUAGAGGACCCAGUAAGUAUUUGAUCAAAUAAACCACAAAGUUAUCAAGGUUUGCAAGUUUACAUUAGUGUGUUAAUUCUGGCAAUAGACAACUUCCUUACAUGACUACAGUCAUAAAGACCAAGACGUAUUCUCAGAUAUCAACAACAAAAUCAAGGGUAGAAUUGCUUUUGUUUGGAAACCAGGUUUAUAGGCUAUUCAAUAUUUUAAUAGCUUGGUGGCCCAAGCCAGUUAGGGUGGCCCUGUUAUUUUUAUCUUAGAAUACAAAGUGCUUUACUUUUAUCCCAAUUGCUAUCUACGAAGUGCUCAGUUACGUGGGAAAUAGCGUAAUGUGUCAGUGUUGGCUUCCUGUAUCCCUCCUUUGGUCAAGUUCCUGCCAUUAAGAUGUGGAUUUGACAGAAGAGUUAGCUUGAAGUUGUUUUUAAGUUCAGUAUCAUUAAUUGGCUGUUUUGUGUUAUUUGAUGUAUUUAUAUAGGAGUAACUAGAGUUGUUUUCACAGAAAGUCCUUUUAACGCUUAUCAAAACUGCAGUCACAUAAAAUGGAGGCCUAGAAGUACACUUUUUGGGGGAGAUUUUGUUCAGCCCUUAGGGUUAUAAUUUCCUGUUAUGUUCAGAAGUAUUUUAUUGCCCUCAUCAGAUCUGCUGGGAUUGAGAACUGAGAAACUAAUUCACUCUAUGAGGUCAAGCUGAAGUAACUAUGACUCUGAGGGUCCCCAUGUUGGUUACUGUUCUUGGCCUGCAAGAAAGUGAGGCUCAAAAUAUGUGUAAAGGGAGGAUCUCGUAAGCCAUAGAGCAGACACCAGGCUAGUUUUCCUGGGUGAAAUUUGUGGAUAUCUUUUCCACAUGUGAAUCAGAUCUUAAGAGUGGGUUUUGAUACUUAAUUCCAGAAGGAUUAAACAUUUUCAUGUACAAAGGUGAGACCUUUAAACAUUUAGAAAUAGAAGACUAUGUUUUUUAUCUUUAUGUAAGGAAAAAGUACUUAAGACAUAAAAAGCUCUAAUCAGAAAGAUCGACACCUCUGCCCUUGUUAAAAUUAAGAAAUUCUGUUCAUUGAGAGACACCAACAAGGAAGGGUAAAAACAAUCUACGGACUUGGAGAAGAUAUUUGCAAUGCCUGUAGCUGAGGAAGAUGGUACUGUUCGGAGUAAUCCUAUAAAACAAACAGAAAAUGACAAUCGUGGGAAAAACUGUCCAAACAGAGAUUUCACAGGAAGAAGAAACACAAAAGGUGAAUAAACAUGAGAAAUUACUCAACUUCUUUAAUAAUGAAGGAAACACAAAUCCAGACUGUAAUGAUGCAGCCCAUAAAACCCACUGAAGGAGCUGAAGUUAAGUUGUAUAAUUACAAGUCUCAGAGAUGAGUAGAAACUCUUACACACUGCUGAUGGGAUGAUAAAUACACAUCCACUUUGGACACAACUUGUUAAUAUCUUGGUAGUUGAACACUCACAUACCCUAUAACCCAGCAGCUCCACCGGUACCACGACUUUUGCGUGUGUGCACAGGGAGACAUCCAUAAGGAUGUUCGUGGCAAGAGUAAAAUGUCAUAUUUCUACCUUCCUUUCUGAAAGCAUUAGAUAGAUGCAGAGGUCUGCGUCUCCUCCCCAGGGCUGAAGUCACCUAGAAGGUUCGUUCUAUGUAAUACCUUGGGGGAAGUGCUUAAGAAUGAACAAAGAAGAUGUUCAUACAACUACCCAUUCUUUUUUUAUUCUGGAUAAUUUUAAAUAUCAUCCGACUGGCAAGUCACCUCCAAUAAAAUAUAAACUGAAAAUAGA